UUAUAAAUUGGCUGGCUGGGCUGAUGAGACAGUGGAGAUCAAGUUUAUAAAUUGGCUGGCUGGGCUGAUGAGACAGUGUAGAUCUAGUUUAUAAAUUGGCUGGCUGGCUGAUGAGACAGUGGAAAUGUAUAAAUUGCCUGGCUGGGCUGAAGAGACAGUGGAUAUCAAGUCUAUACAUUGGCUGGCUGGGCUGAUGAGACAGUGGAGAUAUAGUUUAUAAAUUGGCUGGCUGGGCUGAUGAGACAGUGGAGAACUAGUAUAUAAAUUGGCUGGCUGGGCUGAUGAGACAGUGGAGAUCUAGUUUAUAAAUUGGCUGGCUGGCUGAUGAGACAGUGGAGAUCGAGAUUAUAAAUUGGCUGGCUGGGCUGAUGAGAAGGUGGAUAUUUAUAAAUUGCCUGGCUGGGUUGAUAAGACAGUGGAUAUCAAGUCAAUAAUUGUCUGGCUGGGCUGAUGAGACAGUGAGGAACUAGUAUAUAAAUUGGCUGGCUGGGCUGAUGAGACAGUGGAGAUCUAGUUUAUAAAUUGGCUGGCUGGGCUGAUGAGAAGGUGGAUAUUUAUAAAUUGCCUGGCUGGGUUGAUAAGACAGCGGAUAUCAAGUCAAUAAAUUGUCUGGUUGGGCUGAUGAGACAGUGAGGAACUAGUAUAUAAAUUGGCUGGUUGGGCUGAUGAGACAGUGGGAUCUAGUUUAUAAAUUGGCUGGCUGGGCUGAUGAGACGGCGGAUACCAAGUCUAUAAAUUGGCUGGCUGGGGUGAUGAGACAGUGGAGAUCUUGUUUAUGAAUUGGCUGGCUGGGCUGAUGAGACAGUGAGGAACUAGUAUAUAAAUUGGCUGGUUGGGCUGAUGAGACAGUGGAUAUUUAUAAAUUGGCUGGCUGGGCUGAUGAGACAGUGGAUUGCGCACUCAGAUUUAAUAGUGAAUAGGCUAUUCAACGUCAUAGCCUUAGCCGGUGGUACCUUAAACAAUCAGCAUCCAGGAUUAGACCCACCCAAAAAAUACCACAAUAAAUAACACUAAAAUCCACCACUAUAGAAAUCUGAGCUUAUUUCGCUCUGGAUAAGAGUCUGCUAAAUGACUCACUACUGUAGUGGCUCUGGAUAAGAGAGUCUGCUAAAUGACUCACUACUGUAGUGUCUCUGGAUCAGAGAGUCUGUUAAAUGACUCACUACUGUAGUGGCUCUGGAUAAGAGAGUCUGCUAAAUGACUCACUACUGUAGUGGCUCUGGAUAAGAGAGUCUGCUAAAUGACUCACUACUGUAGUGGCUCUGGAUAAGAGAGUCUGCUAAAUGACUCACUACUGUAGUGGCUCUGGAUAAGAGAGUCUGCUAAAUGACUCACUACUGUAGUGUCUCUGGAUCAGAGAGUCUGCUAAAUGACUCACUACUGUAGUGUCUCUGGAUCAGAGAGUCUGUUAAAUGACUCACUACUGCAGUGGCUCUGGAUCAGAGAGUCUGCUAAAUUACUUAAUAAAUGUAAAAAGCGAGUGAACCAGGCAUUUAAAAAUAUACGGCUGUAGUGUAGAGAUACGGCUGUAGUGUAGAGUUACGGCUGUAGUGUAGAGUUACGGCUGUAGUGUAGAGAUACGGCUGUAGUGUAGAGUUACGGCUGUAGUGUAGAGAUACGGCUGUAGUGUAGAGAUACGGCUGUAGUGUAGAGAUACGGCUGUAGUGUAGAGUUACGGCUGUAGUGUAGAGAUACGGCUGUAGUGUAGAGUUACGGCUGUAGUGUAGAGUUACGGCCCAGAAAAUAAGGACGACCACUUGAUUUCAACAUCUGAACAAAGUGGACAAUAUGCUGUUUAAAAGGAAACAGAAGGGUCAUAACAAAACAAGUCUUUUAAUGACUGAAUAUAGAGCUGGUGAAAUUAUACCGAGAUUCAAGAUGGCCGAACUUGGACUGAACUGUCACGUGGGCUCGUGGUUGAGAGAGAGUUGAUGAGACCAGUGAAUGUGCUUUAUGCAACAACACCAAAAGAAGGACAUUUUAUAGUCAGUGCUGAAAGACAGCAAACAACUGAAAG